CACGUAGGGGACGAGCGUUGUCCGGAUUCAUUGGGCGUAAAGCGCGCGUAGGCGGCUCGGAAAGUCGGGCGUGAAAUCCCCGGGCUCAACCCGGGAACUGCGUCCGAAACUGGCAGGCUUGAAUCCGGGAGAGGGAUGUGGAAUUCCAGGUGUAGCGGUGAAAUGCGUAGAGAUGUGGAGGAACACCGAUGGCGAAGGCAGCCUCCUGGGCCAACACUGACGCUCAUGCACGAAAGCGUGGGGAGCAAACAGG
rnacentral:rRNA from 1 species